rnacentral:rRNA from 1 species
CCUACGGGGGGCUGCAGUGAGGAAUAUUGGACAAUGGAUGGAAAUCUGAUCCAGCCAUGCCGCGUGCAGGAAGACAGCCCUAUGGGUUGUAAACUGCUUUUAUAUGGGAGCAAUAAGGUCUACGUGUAGACUGAUGAGAGUACCAUAUGAAUAAGCAUCGGCUAACUCCGUGCCAGCAGCCGCGGUAAUACGGAGGAUGCGAGCGUUAUCCGGUUUUAUUGGGUUUAAAGGGUGCGUGGGCGGCAGAGUAGAAAUUUUGCAGAUUAACUGUAACAGUGCCGUUGAUACUGCAUGGCUAGGAUUUGGUUGCUGUGGGUGGAAUGUGUGGUGUAGCGGUGAAAUGCUUAGAUAUCACACAGAAUAUCGAUUGCGAAGGCAGCUCACAAAGCCAAGAUUGACGCUGAGGUACGAAAGUGUGGGGAUCAAACAGGAUUAGAUACCCCUGUAGUC